AAGUGAUGGGUUGUAGCUCCAUAAACAGAGGUUUAAGUCCUCUUCUUAC
rnacentral:tRNA from 1 species